CAUGGCCUUUUGAUUAUAAUUUAAGGUNUGGCCUGCCCAAUGAGUAAUUAAAUGGCCGCGGUACUUUGACCGUGCAAAGGUAGCAUAAUCAUUAGUUUUUUAAUUGAAAGCUUGUAUGAAAGGUCGGAUGAGAAAAUAACUGUCUCUAUUUAAAUUUUUUAGAAUUUUAUUUUUAAGUAAAAAAGCUUAAAUAUUUAUAGAAGACGAGAAGACCCUAUAGAGUUUUAUUUAAAUUUUUUUAAAAGAUUAUUAGUAUUAAAUUUUUUUUAUAAAAUUUAAAUUUGGUUGGGGUGAUCGAAAAAUUAAAUAAACUUUUUUUUUAUUUUAGACAUAGAUUUAUGAAUAAUUGAUCCUUUAAUAAAGAUUAUAAGAUUAAAUUACCUUAGGGAUAACAGCGUAAUUUUUUUUGAGAGUUCAAAUCGAAAAAAAAGUUUGCGACCUCGAUGUUGGAUUAAAAUAAAAUUUUGGUGUAGAAGCUAAAAUAUUUAGGUCUGUUCGACCUUUAAAAUUUUACUUGAUC
rnacentral:rRNA from 1 species